UACAGAGGUCUCAAGCGUUGUUCGGAUUCAUUGGGCGUAAAGGGUGCGUAGGUGGCGCGCUAAGUCAGGUGUGAAAUCUCGGGGCUCAACUCCGAAACUGCAUUUGAUACUGGCGUGCUUGAGGACUGGAGAGGAGACUGGAAUUUACGGUGUAGCAGUGAAAUGCGUAGAUAUCGUAAGGAAGACCAGUGGCGAAGGCGGGUCUCUGGACAGUUCCUGACACUGAGGCACGAAGGCCAGGGGAGCAAACGGG
rnacentral:rRNA from 1 species